ensembl:lincRNA
CAAAUGUUGAUUUCUUAAAAUGAGAAGAAAUAAGCCCUGGAAACUUUAUACUGCUAAGUCUAAUGUGGAUUCAGGGCCAGUGAUACGCACUUAGCAGCGACAGAGGUGAAAACUCGAAUUCAGCUGCUAGCAUGGGAAGACUCUCUCCUCUGCAAAUCUACCUGCCCAAGUUUCUACCCUCCGGGAGGAUUGCCUUUUGAGGAACUCCAUGAUGAUAGCAAGUCCCCAUCUGCUGGUGUCAGCAAAGAAGGCAGAACUGUCUGUCUUCUCAUUCUUUGCACCCUGGUCUGGGAUUUCCUCAAGGGGAUGACUCUUCUCUCAUAUUAGCUCAAGUCGAUGGAAGACCCUGGUUAUCAGGCUCAGAGCUUUUCUGUUGAUACAGUUUAUGAGUUCCUGAACAGCCUGACAUUUUCCUUCCUGGGAACUCAGUUUAUUAAACCAAAUCCAAGAUGAAAGUGUUUCAGAUCCGCUGAUUCACUGCUUUGUGGAAGAAAAGGGCCAGAAAGACCAUGUCUGUGGACCCAAGGGCCUUGUCCUUUGCCUGAUUUUUCACUCGUGACUAACUUUAUGAUGUCCAAACAAGAUCCACCUACUAUAAGGCUGGGGAGCUGACUAGUGCUGGGUGGGGCUCUUCCCAAACCACUUGCAAAUGUGGUCUACAAAAGCACAGUGGUCUAUUCUACUUCCUAUAACGGUCAAAUAAGCUCCUGUCAGAAUAAUCCUCCUGAAGAUAAUAACCAUAAACUUUGAAGAAAAUAUAUAAAACAACAACUGAAGGCACUGAAGAUCAAUCCAAACAAGACAUAUUCAGUGUCAGGAGAAACAGUCUGCCAGAGACCCUAAAUGCCCCAGUGUGUUCUUUGUGGUUAUGCCUAGGACGUAAGGCCCCGACCACUUGUAACCUGGGCCAUUACUCAGCACUGAAUCCAUAGUGAGCAAAAGAGGAAUUAUAUAAGGUCUCUUAAGAGACAAAGAGGGAGACAAAGAGACAAAAGAGACAAAGAGACAAAAGAGGGAUUAUAUAAGGUCUCUUAAAACAAAGAAUAGGUUUUAACUACUUUAACAUAGAAGAAUUAGAUUCCUCAAACUAGUGCUCCUAUCCUGUAAACAACCCACUGUGUGUGCAUGCAGCCAUCUGGGCCCAUGGAGUCAUCAGUGUGGGACUUGGGGGCAAGGGGAAAUCAACGCCGAGAUGUGGAUACCGAUGAUGCUUGGUAUGCCAGGAGUAAUAAAGCCUUUCUUUCUGACCCAUGAAAUAGUGACAGGCUUAUUUAUCAGCUGGUAGGUAGGGUAAAAUAACAUCUCAGAUCUUGACAGAACGAGUUGACACUUGAAAGAAGAGAACAGCACUGGAUAGAUCUCCCAUUUUCAAGACUUCUGGCCUGACAGCAGGUUUUCAGUCUCUGUCAUAUGGAGUGGCUAAGACUCUGCUAGAAAGCUUGCAGUCUUUCUAGGCUAAAGAAUCAGAGGGCAAAGUUUGGGGCAACCACACCCUUCAGAAAGCAAGAGGGCAAUCACAGAAAUGAAAGCCAGAGGGAGGAACCAUAAAUUCUGUCUAUUAAUUCUGCCCACACGUCUGGCUGACCUCCGAACCAUGCAUUAGCAAGGCAGACUCCAGACGGCCCAGCAGAGACUAAACUUUCAGAAAUGAGAUUGCAUCUUCUGCCCAGGAGACAGAGUUUGUACUCUGAAUUUAAUCAUGCUAAGGGCCUGCUGUAACAACAGCAACAACUCUUUGGAGAAAUAGCAUAGUAUCCAGAAUCUCCCACAGCACAACACUUAAAAUGUCCAGAAUAUAAUCCAAAGUUACUCGACAUACAAAGAAACAAGAAAAUAUGACCCAUUCUCAAGAUUUAAAAAGGCAAACAAACAAACAAACAAACAAAAAAGCAGGUUUUUUUGAAUGACCCUGAGAUGACUCAGACAUUGGAAUUAGCUGGCAAAGAUUUUGUAGCAGCAACUGUAUCUCUGCUCAAGGAUGGAAAGGAAAAUAUGCUUAUCAUGAAUAAAAUGGAAAUUUCAGUUUGCAAAUAGCUGUGUGUUUUUUAAAAGAUGCUAAUUCCAGCAUUAAGUAAUAUAAUCUAUGAAAAAAUAAUCACUAGAAGUGUUCAACAUAGGAGUGGAGAUAGAA